ACACAUACGCCCUUUUGCUAUAUGAAAAAUUGAAAAAAUAACUGGGUUUCAGAAUUGAAGUAAAAAUAAUAUCCCAUUUCUACGGCAGUCUAUGCUUGGUAUAAUAAAAAAGUUAACGAUUAUGAUAAUUACAAUAAUUACGCAAGAAUUAAUUCUAAAACUAUUUCUAAACUAUGACUUUAAAGUGUUUUCCCAUAUGUUCGUACCAUAAGACGGAAGACAUAAGAGUAUCUUUUCAUAAUAUGGAUAUUUCUUCGCUUCUCAGUAAAAAGGAAGGAUCUAUGCUUGCGAAAUAAUUCUUAUAUUCUGCAAGAUACGAAGUUCUGUUUAAAUCCAUAACUAUAAUCAUCCAUCACGAAUAAUCUGAUGUCCAAUUAAUUCUGAAUUAAUUAAACAGUCGCACGUUUCAACCGAUAUAACUAAUUCACUAUUUCAAUAAUUGAUUUUGAGUUUAUUAAUAACUUCGAGGGUCGUAUUUAAUUAGAAAUGUAUUAUGUAAAUUGACUCAGCAGAAGUAGUAUUUAAUUUAUUACGUAUUUUACAUGAAACAGACUCUACAUUGUGUUAUAUAAAUUGCAUAUAAUUACGGUAAUCUUAUCUAAUUAUCCAAGAUCCAUAAAGUUGUUUAUUCGUAUCACGAUGAAGGAACUAGGGAGAAGGAGAUUGUAAAACACAGGAGGAAAGAAAGGAAAUUAUUUGAAUUCCCUUUUUUUGUCGUUUCUACGAGAUGAUUUCAGAUAUAAAAUUUGCACAAAAUUCAUAGCUUCCAUACGAAAUCCGUAUGAGAUGUAUCUGGAUAACAGAAAACUUUUAUUUUCCUUACAACAGUAAAUUCCGUAUUUUAUUUUAUUUCCAAGUAAGAAAUCAAUGAUCAUUGACACUUUUACCUUUGGAUAUUGUGCUUUUUAUACGAAUGGUAUUCGAUUCUAUUUAUCGACUUAAGUUACAGGUAAUUUAAUUAAUAUCUUUGCUUUUAUAUCCUAUACAUGGCAAAGUAUUGAUUUAAAAAGAUAUUCAUGCUUGUUACGUCGUACAAUUAAUUUCCUUAUUGCUCUUGUUAACUGGUAAUUUUCGAUGUUCCACGGUGUUUCCCUUUAUUAUUAGUAGACAUAAAACGUUAGCGUCGAUAGAACAUAGAAGCUCAAAGCAAAUAAUUAUCUACGUGGGAUACAUAUAAUUACAUAUAUGUAUUCUACUUUCUUUUUUAUGUAUACUUCCUUACUGUGUUUUUUUACCUACCACUCUUUUUCCCAUUGAAGAUAGAUGGUCUCCCGAACAUUUCUACUUUUUUCCUUAUCUUUGUCCUGCAAGGCCUGUAUUUAUGGAAAUGGGAAGUGCUAUAUCAGAUCUUUACAAGUACUAUGCUUUCGUAUCUUUCUAUCCUUUAUGUUGUCAUUGAAAGAAACGAAAUAAUUCUCCAACAAAACGUUAAUAAUAUAUAUCUUCUCAUAGUUAAUUAUGUUCUAUCCAUAUUUUAUGAAACGUAUGUACACGUAUAUAUGGACAUUUAAAACUGUAUUUUCUGGCAAUGCAAAAGCCAAUGAAAUUGAUUAAAAUUAUUUUCAUUUAACUUAAUACUCAUCUCAAGUUUUAUCUAACUGUGUCUUUCAUUACUCUAGAAAAACACACAACUUGCGCCAACGACGAAAGCGCGCUGAAAAUGCUGGUUUUCAUCCGAUCGCCAGGAUAAGCAGCGCGUGGCACGGAGAAGUACUAAGAUGGGUGAUCGCUCCUUGGGAAUUCUGUGCGCCGUUGGUACCCCCACCAACCUUUUGUUUCUUUUUAGCAGAUAUUAGAAAAUAUAAACAAAGAAGAUCCACGAAAGACCAACUUUUUUGUUAAAAAGAAAUCGUUCGCUAGGUAAGUGGUUCAUAUCAUAAGCAACGUGCUAUUCAAAUGAGUUGUCGGCUCUUCAAAUUUCAAGUAUUCUAAUCUGUCUUCUCACCUACGUAUAUAUGUCUACGUACAUCGCAUCCUUGCCCUCGUUUCGAUAACGAGAGCAGCGUUUGUCUAGCGAAGAAGUCGGAACUGUGCGUAUCAAGAGAAUUAAAUGGCAAUAAGUCGCGAGAACCAAACCAAUAAACUGACUGCCUUAGAGAGUUCUUCAUAGAGUGUGUAUAUCAAGGCGAGCAACAGCAUAUCGCUUCUGAUCCAAGCCAAGUGGUUGUCCGAAGAUAGAGAGGAUGGUCCCUCGCGCUGCUCGUUGCCCCACCCGUGGGUAUUCCGAUCUAACCAAACAAGUAUCGCCUCUGUCGGUCGGUAUCUCGGCCCGUAGAUCGGAUCGCGAUCGAUAGUUACGCCAAUGGGUUGAAACGAGGCAGCAGAGAGAGAAAGAGAAAGGAGAAGAAGAGAGGAGAGCGGCGGCCGAUGGCGCGGCAGGUAGAGGCGAGGGUCUCGGCCCGUGUAUACUAUAAUUACGAGUAACUCAGCCACAUUUGCGUUGAUCCGACACCUUAAAGAUAACAUUUAGCGGCCCCUUUUAUCUCCGCGGCAAACAAACCAAUUUAUACCUCAGCUCGCUUUGUGCCUGGCUCUGUCUCCGUUUCGCCAACGCUCAUCCUUGCUCUCCUCCUCUCUAUCGCCGAAAAAAACCCCGCCCCGAACUACGAAUUAGGAGCAUCCUUCUCCUCCUUUUACCAUCUUGCUUGCUCUUGUGCCUCUCCUUUGCUUCCCUUUGUGCUGCUCCUUUCCUUGCAUCUUCCUCCUCUUCGUCUUCGCCUGUUUCUUCCUCCGCUAUUUUCCUCUUCUUCUUGUUCUUCGCUGAUUUUCGUCUUCUUCUUCGCCGGCUAUUUUGCUCGUGUCCUUGAUCCUAUUCUGGGGUCUUCGUCGCCUUCUCGCGCUGCUGCCUUGGCCGCUCGUUCGUCCUGGUUUGUCGGUGGUCGUUAGAUUUUGGUACGAGCGUCUUGAUGUAACUCUUGAUGUCCCGCUGCUCUUCUGUUUCUUUUUUGUUUUCUGGCAUUUCGCGGAGGAAUUUCAAUUUUGGCAGCAAUUACGGCGCAGUUUCUUUCAACCGGUCUUCAUGCGACCUCAACUGGAUGAAUGAAUGACCGGUUAAUCCAAGGAUACGCAUAUUCCAGAUAUCAUACGCGCCGGAUGACACAUGGAAGAAAGGGCGCUUAAACACAGACUCCUUUUACACCCUAAAGACCUCAAAAUUCGCAAGUUCAUGAACAUCGGUUGAUUUUUUAAUCGUCUCAAUAACGUUUACGUAUACCGUUGGCAGAGAAGAAGAAGAAGAAGAAGAAGAAGAAUAAGAAGCGAAAUUUGGACGAAGGAAACCGAUAGAGCGGCAGAUUGUACGGAGAGGCGUGCAGCGGAAGAUUGAAAUUAAUCAGCUCUUGGACGGAUCAUUAUUUCUAUUAUCCUGCGUUUCGCUCUCAGCAAGUUUCACAGCGAAGGACAGCGGACUUUCUCAAAUUUCACGUGUAUUAUUUACUCAAUUGGUCACGGUUCUUCCCUCUCGCUGGCCUUCUUAAUAGACGGCCAGAUGGAGUUAGUCAAUGCCUAAUGAAUUACUUAUCGCUGAGGGAGGAUCGGGGCAGCGAGAAAAGGGCGAGGGAGAUUUGAUUAAUGAUUAUAGUUGUUCGGUUAACAUCUGAGAUUCCGCUUUUUUCUCCCCUGCUGUAUUAUUGGCUUCUACUGUAAACUUAUUAACCUUACGUUUUCAUCCGUCCUUCCUUUUGUAUGUUUUCUUUGUGAAUGAUUAUAUAUGGGAGGCAGGCUCGGGUAAAUUUGAUUUCUAAUACAAAUAAAAAAUAACUACUCGAAAGAGAGGAUCGUUUGUUGCUUUUAACCGAAGAAACGACAGAGGGAAAAAUAUCAAUCGUUUUGUAGCGAGCUAUUUAAUAGCGACAUAAUUAUAAAAGCAAAAACAAGAGCAACAUGAACAGGAAAAUUUAUAUAAGCGAAAAUUUAUCGUGGCUUUUUUUUUAACAAGAAGAUGCAUAAUUUAUACUGAUUAUGUAGUUUGAUGCUGCGCACAGAAGGAUAAGGAAGAGGAAGGAGGAAAAAUUAAAGAGCCGAUCGAGGUCGUUAGAGAUACAAUCUCCGGAAUUGCCGAUCAAAAGCUUGAAAUCAGAUCCCACGGUUGUGAUUAUGGCGUCAUGAGCGGUAAUGGGAUCGUAUCAACCUGAAAUUUUAUUACUUUCAAUAUUUGCCACGUCCGCAAUCCCACGUAUCCCAAUUUCCCAUUUAUUUUCAUCUUUCGUGCAUAUUUUCCAUUUUUAAGAUACACGUCGCUGCCUUUCCAAUUCCACGGUAUUCCAAAAUAUUCGUAAGAUAAAACGACGCUAUAAUAAUAAACACGGAGUGUUGUAAUGCGUUCCCUUCCUGUCGUGACAUAAAACGAUAAUAAAAUGGAAGAUAGUUUAUCGAUCGACAGGUUGGCGCUUCUUAGAUGCCCAUCCUUUCGCUGCCCUUCAACAACAAAUUUUAUCUCGCGAUAUACCGCGAUAGGAUUCUCAUGUCGAGCCUUCCUGCUUGCAAUUUUCUAACCGAUUUGUAUUCCGUGAAAAACAAUUAAAUGGCCGUAUAUUUCUCAACGACAACCGUAAGUUUCAACAUGUCGCUACGAGGAUAGAUGGAUUCACACUGCUACCCAUUUUUGUACUCCAUGUUCGUUGUUGCAGUAGCUGCGCGUCGCAAGUUACCUGUUUAAUGUGAAGAAAUAUCUACUACUUCGCCGAAUGACAAGAUCACGAUGUAUUAGGAUGGCAACUAAGUGAUUGCGGAUUUUGCCACUAGGUGGUAAUGACAAACUCCGCAAUCACUUAGUUGUCAACCCAAUAUAAAUACGUAAGACGCGAUCUGUACGAGUCAGGCGGACAAAAAGAAACGGAAGCUCCGGCGUAUUAUCAUGGAGCGCUGCAGCUUCCUAAACCCUUGCCAAAGAAACGAGCGAAGGAGGAAACGCAGAGCGUGGCGGUAGGCAGAAAAACCUUCGAAACGAGGAGUGAAACAGGUGCCAAGAAAACACGUUCGCUCGUGCGCUCGCGCGUGCAGACAUUAGUCGCCACUGUCGGCAGUCGCGCGCCCUCGUGAAGGUGCGUUUUCACCGACUUCUGCGGACGC